rnacentral:rRNA from 1 species
UACAGAGGGUGCAAGCGUUGUUCGGAAUCAUUGGGCGUAAAGAGCGUGUAGGCGGCUCGAUAAGUCCGCUCUGAAAGCCCGGGGCUCAACCCCGGGAGGCGGGCGGAUACUGUCGAGCUAGAGUCCGGAAGAGGCGAGUGGAAUUCCUGGUGUAGCGGCGAAAUGCGCAGAUAACAGGAGGAACACCAAUGGCGAAGGCAGCUCGCUGGGACGGUACUGACGCUGAGACGCGAAAGCGUGGGGAGCAAGCAGG